AUUUGGAUAGUUUAAUAAAAACAUUAAUCUGUGUAAUUAAAAAUAAUAAUAUUUCCAAAUU
rnacentral:tRNA from 1 species